GGGGAUGUACUGAAUCGACGGGAUGGCUCUUUAAAAACUGCAAGCCGAGAUGAUCGUUUCUCGUAACAACCGGUCAAAAAUAAAUGUCAGCAAUAAGCUUGACGAACUAGAAGCAGAAGUUGCUAAACUCGAGGAAGCUUUGCUUGCUCGAAAGGCGGCAGACGCUUUUGGUGCCCGCGCAUUUGCAUUCGCAACUGCAUAAGGCCAUCUGUAUUGUCUUUUCCUGAUGGGAUAGUACAGGUGUAAAUACAGUCAGGAUGCAUUCUUUAUUUUGACAAGAUAAGGAAUAAAGACUUUGUCUUACUUUUUUUGUUGAUUGUUCGUUGGAAUAUGAAAAAAGGAAAUCUUACAACGGACUAAGCUUGUAGAUGUUUUUCUGGAAAUAUUCCGGACGGGAGUCCAAAACUCCCCAUCUCCACAA
rnacentral:tmRNA from 1 species